UACGUAGGGUGCAAGCGUUAAUCGGAAUUACUGGGCGUAAAGCGUGCGCAGGCGGUUGUGCAAGACAGAUGUGAAAUCCCCGGGCUCAACCUGGGAACUGCAUUUGUGACUGCACAGCUUGAGUGCGGCAGAGGGGGAUGGAAUUCCGCGUGUAGCAGUGAAAUGCGUAGAUAUGCGGAGGAACACCGAUGGCGAAGGCAGCCCCCUGGGCCAAUACUGACGCUCAGGCACGAAAGCGUGGGGAGCAAACAGG
rnacentral:rRNA from 1 species